rnacentral:rRNA from 1 species
AUUGAACGCUGGCGGCAUGCCUUACACAUGCAAGUCGAACGGCAGCACGGGUGCGUGCACCUGGUGGCGAGUGGCGAACGGGUGAGUAAUAAAUCGGAACAUGUCCUGUAGUGGGGGAUAGCCCGGCGAAAGCCGGAUUAAUACCGCAUACGAUACACGGAUGAAAGCGGGGGACCUUCGGGCCUCGCGCUAUAGGGUGGCCGAUGGCUGAUUAGCUAGUUGGUGGGGUAAAGGCCUACCAAGGCGACGAUCAGUAGCUGGUCUGAGAGGACGACCAGCCACACUGGGACUGAGACACGGCCCAGACUCCUACGGGGGGCAGCAGGGGGGAAGUUUGGACAAUGGGCGAAAGCCUGAUCCAGCAAUGCCGCGUGUGUGAAGAAGGCCUUCGGGUUGUAAAGCACUUUUGUCCGGAAAGAAAUCCUUGACUCUAAUACAGUCGGGGGAUGACGGUACCGGAAGAAUAAGCACCGGCUAACUACGUG